CACGACAUGGUUGCUGUCUACUCUCCUUUCAAUGUGUACACGCAAGUGUAAAAUGUAUCGGCUUUACAAACACUGAUGGAGAAUGACACUUCCCGCCCCUUUAAGCUGAUUGGCGGAUCUCCUCAAAAACUGGAUACAAUUGGCAACUGGGCAUGGCAGUCAAGCGUUGCUCGUUACAACUUCCGUAUAAUGCCACAUUGUAGCCACUGAGAACCGUAUAACAGAGUCAAAUAUAUACUAAACAAAAAUAUAAACGCGACAUGCAGCAAUUUAAACGAUUUUGCUGAGUUACAGUACAUAUAAUUAAAUUAAAAUAAAUAAAUUAGGCCCUGAUCUAUGGAUUUUAUAUGACUGGGCAGGGGCAAAGCCACUGAGACGGACUUUUUCCCCACAAAAGGGCUUUAUUAUAGACAGAAAUAUUGCUCUUGUCCGGGUGGCUGGCCUCAGACGAUCCCGUAGGUGAAGAAGCCAGAUGUGGAGGUCCUGGGUUGGCGUGGUUACACGUGGUCUGCGGUUGUGAGGCUGGUUGGACAUAAUGCCAAAUUCUCUAAAACGACAUUGGAGGUUCAAGUUCCUUACUAUAUGAAUAUACACAGCCCACGAGAAAAAACGAAAUGCAACUCUGAACGUGCACGAUGACUGUCCGUCCACCUGAUGCAAGUGCUAGAAAAUAGUUGCAAUUGGUCUGCAUGUGAAUCCCAAAAGUUAAAUGAUCCUAACAUGUAAACCGCUGUGAUAUAUAUUUUCAACAACCAAAAACAAUGCAUUUUCAGCUGUUCGAAGUUGGUGUACCAAACCGAUAGUAAAAGACGCUAAAACUACAUUUAAGAACAAGAAGCAUAGAAAUAGUGCACAUAGAAUAUAGGCUACCGCUUCUUAGACUUGCCUUCAACGAGAAUGACAGAUAUAUAACUCACAUUUAUAUGUGAAUUUGAUGUGGUCGCCCAAAAAGUUAUAUUGUAGCCUAGUUGGGCAUGCGAAAUCAAGUGAGUCUACUAGUAUCAGUGCUUAGUUGUGGCCGAGUUGUCUGGUACGCGGUACCAGAACCUACAUUUUAGGGUUGAAUUGCGUACCAGUUCCUAUAUAAAACAAGUAGAAUAUCGCCCGCCUAGAUUCACACAGUGAGCCAAAAAAAGUUUGAUCAAAGCGGAAUGAAAGCGGGGUCGGCAUUUCUCGAUUCUGCUAUGUUCAAGUUUAUUUGCCACUAGUCUGUGAUUCUAUGCUUGACAGUAGGCUAGUAGUGUUCGAGAAUGUGUGGCUUGAAAAUGCAUCAGUGUGAAUGGCAUGAUGCGUUGUUCCAAAUGGCCAAAUUAGGGGUUGUAAGGUCAUAAAAAGUCAUGGAAAUGUUUGUUAACAUAGUUAAUGAAGGCACACUUAAAUAUUGUUACUCACUUAUCAGCCAUCAUAGGAAUGACCCUUCAGUGCAUGUCUGUGUACUGCUUAUGUGCCAGUGGGCGGUUGCCCAAGAAGAGAGAGAGCGACAUUUCAGCAGCAGAUAUAAAAUAAUAACUAUUCCAAUUCAAAACAUAACUUGUAGCAGUUCUCGCUAGUUAACUAUAGCUAACUAUCAUUCAUGUUGUUUUCGCCUUUCCAAAGGCACUGCAAUUAACUUCCUGUGCGAAUUGAGGCUAUUCUGAGGGCAAAAAUGAUUUUUUUUUUUACACUCGGUGUAUAUAGAUGUCUAAUUAGAUAGCAUUCUGAAGUUACCUUAUCCAUAUUGUCCCUGAUUCAUUGAAUGAAUCUCGCAAAUGGAAACUCGGCCAAAACCUUCCUUCCGCUAAUUUCGUUGUCUAUGUACUGACGUGUGCAACUGAUAGAUUCACACACAUAUUGUUUUUAACUUCAUGUAAAUUGUGUCUAAUGUCUUUUUCGUUAUGGGUCUUGGCCAAAACCCUCCCUCUGCUAACUUAGCCAGUGUUUAUCAUGGCCAAAAAACGUCUCUUUUAAAAUAUUACAAACUAUUUCUAUUUUGUGGCUGUUGAAUCUAGUGGAACCCGUUUUAUCAUCCACACGGGGGCUUGAAAACCACUGCACCUGUCAGGGGUGCGUACUGGCGGCAGAGAAGUAAGACGCAGGAGAGCAAAACUGUGCUUCCAACGGCUCAGUUUAAUCAUCAAAACCCACCGGAUACAGAACAAUAAAAUAAAUGGGUACAUAACCCACCGCACACCAGGACAGACGUGCACAAGCACUGACAACAAACAAUUACGGACAAGGGGAGGGUUUACAGAGGGUUAAAUACACAACAUGUAAUUGAUGGAAUUGGAACCAGGUGUGAUGGAAGACAAAACCAAUGGAAAAUGAAAAGUGGAUCGGCCAUGGCUAGAAAGUCGGUGACGUCGACCGCCGCCGGAACAAUGAGAGGGGCCGACUUUGGCGGAAGUCGUGACAGCACCAGUUAAAGCAGCAGUCGAAACAAUAAUACAGCGGUUGUCAGUAAAACGCUGAGGGAUGGGGCUUGAGGAAUGUAA